AUUGAACGCGGGCGGCAGGCCUAACACAUGCAAGUCGAGCGAGCGGCGGACGGGUGAGUAAUGUCUGGGAAACUGCCUGAUGGCGGGGGAUCACUGCUGGAAACGGUAGCUAAUACAGCAUACCAUCAGAUGUGCCCAGCAGGGCUUAGCUAGGAGGUGGGGUAACGGCUCACCUAGGCGACGAUCCCUAGCUGGUCUGAGAGGCUGACCAGCCACACUGGAACUGAGACACGGUCCAGCCUCCAUCGGGAGGCAGCAGUGGGGAAUAUUGCAAAAUGGGCGCAAGCCUGAUGCAGCCAUGCCGAGUUUGUGAAGAAGGCCUUCGGGUUGUAAAGCACUUUCAGCGGGGAGGCGUUACCCGCAGAAGAAGCACCGGCUAACUCCGUGCCAGCAGCCGCGGUAAUAC
rnacentral:rRNA from 1 species